rnacentral:lncRNA from 1 species
GCUGAGUGUUCUUGGCUCUGUGUUCCGAACUUAAUAAAGGUAAAAUUUGAAAUGUGAUGUCAAUGGUGAUACUUUUGUGUCAUUGGAGACAUUUUUUUAUUUUCCUUCAUAAAUAUAAGUGUUUUUAGGUCGUGUACGAAGGAUUAGGUAUCUUAUUAUCAUUUAAUCUUACACAAUUCACAUAUAUUCAUUUUAAGUGCAUAUUUUAGUAUUUACAACGGCCAUGAUUAGGACAGCCAACUUUUUUACGACAAUGUAUUCUGAAAUUAUUUUUGAAUAGAAUGCACAGCUAUAUGAAUAAUGUCAAUAAGUCGUAAUGUUAAC